rnacentral:rRNA from 1 species
AUUGAACGCUGGCGGCAGGCCUAACACAUGCAAGUCGAGCGAGCGGCGGACGGGUGAGUACUGUAUGGGGACUGCCCGAUAGAGGGGGAUAACUACUGGAAACGGUGGCUAAUACCGCAUACCGUCGGAUACCCCAUAUGGGAUUAGCUAGUAGGUAAGGUAAUGGCUUACCUAGGCGACGAUCACUAGCUGGUCUGAGAGGAUGAUCAGCCACACUGGGACUGAGACACGGUCCAGACUCCGACGGAGGCAGCAGUGGGGAAUAUUGCACAAUGGGCGCAAGCCGGAUGCAGCCAUGCCGCGUGUAUGAAGAAGGCCUUAGGGUUGUAAAGUACUUUCAGUGGGGAGGCGUUACCGACAGAAGAAGCACCGGCUAACUCCGUGCCAGCAGCCGCGGUAAUAC